AGAAUACUUGCAGCGAACUUAUGAGUAUCGGCAGGCACAGGUCAGAGGGGAACUCUCUGUUACCGAGCUCAUAGACCUGUAUCUAUGAUACGAGGAUUUAUCCAACUUGAUCAAUGUUGAAUUUGCACUUAUGUUUCCUGAGGAGUCUGGGAAUUUUCUGAAAAAUGGGGGACUACCUUCAGGGAGAACAUCAUCACCACUGCCAAGGAGGAUUAUGCUACAAUACAACAGGUCAUGAAAGAUCAUGAAGAUUCUGACAGACCUCUGUGGGGUCAUAGCCGUAAUAUACAGGUUGCAUCGACCUGUGACAAGGAGGAAAGGGGAAGACUUCUCAUGCAGUAGGGCAGGAGCUGUGGAACACCUGAUGCAAACUGUGCCUGUGCCUAUGCACAUCAAGGCAGAUCAGUCAGCAGUCCAUUAGAUAACAUGACUACAGCAGCAGUGGAAGCAGCAGAGAUAGAGACCAAGAACGAGAGAGGGAACGUCGCGAAUGUGAAAGAGUGAAGGAAAGUGAGAAGUCUCCAGUGAAACGAUCCAGGUCUCCACAUAAUUCCAAGUCUCCACAUAAUUCCAAGUCACCAAGAAGAUCACCACGACGUACCAAGAGAGUAGUACAAUGAUACUGUGUUCAGAUCCCACACUUUGCUCUGGAUAUCCUUCCUCAGAACUCCAGACUCGUGAAACAAAGCCUGUUCUGGCAUUGAUUGUGGAUGGGGGACCUGAUUUUAAUGUCAAUCACCACAUCAAUAAGCUGUUCUACUGGCAGGUUCUUCAGACAAAGCAGCUUGGAUGGACUGCUAGUUACUUCUUACGCUUGUGGAGAAUUGGCAUUUAAUCCUGUCAAGCAUUUAUGGGCUCCCUGUACAAAUGCAUUGGUAGGGGUGUACCUGCCUUCAACUAUCGAUGGAAAGGAGAAGCCUCCCCUUCACCAGACGGACUUGACACCAGAGCUUAGGGUGGAGAAGGAGAACAGCGACAACGCCAUAUCCCUCAUUCGAGACCGAUACUGGCGUGACAUCACGUUUUCUGGCCACAAGAUGCAAGUGCAAGUGGAGAAAAGCAGUGCACCAUCGGCUUCAUAUGGUGGAGACUACAAUGAAGUGAAAGCAGUCAUCUCUGGCACUGUCAGGCGAUUGAAGGGGAAACCAGACACCCUGAAGAGAAGGCCAGCUCUAAUAAAGCUACAUCUACCAACCUCAGUGGUGAGCUCCUGGAUGUCAAGAAGAAACUCUCCUUCUGAGCGUGCUCUCAUUGGCUCAUCCACCUGUUCCAAGAAGCUCAUUGGGACCGCUCAGUAAAACCUGGAUGAAAUCAUGCUCAACUUUAACGAGGUCCUGGAGGAAGCCGUGCUGCCCCCUACAGUCAAGAUUCUUGAGAAAGGCAAGGAAGGUAUCAAGUUCAAGACAGAAAACAAACCUGUUGUUAAAUAAAAAAUAAAAAAGCCCAAGAGUAAAGAAGUAGAGAUUGCAUGGGUUAGUUCAACACUGAAGCACUAAAAGAAAAGGUAAAAAAUAAUGCUUUUAACCUUUUUUUUUAUAAUAUCACAUUUUUCAUACAUGCAAAAGACCCUAGAAAUUAUAAUCUUAUGUAAUCAAUCAUAGAGGUUGAAAUUACUUCACAAAACAAGUGGGAUAAUGCAUUCAAUGAUGAUUGUAAUACAAAGAAACUAUUAAAAAAACUGUUGAUAAAAUCCCACAAUACCAUUCAUUUUGAAAAAGUAAAACUAAUCGAUAAAGGUUCUACUAGAUCAGGCCAUCCAUAACUGGACUCAUAUUUGUUGAUUUCAGACCCCUAUUAACAUUUGGAUAUAUUCUAUCUCUAAUUUAUGCAUAUGAUUUGUCAAAUUGUAUGUUUCAGUAUGAUAGAUUCAAAAGUUUAUGUUGAAAAAUAUUUUGAUGAUAUUAUCUUACAAAGAAAACCAUUAGGUUUUACUUUCGUAAACUAUUAAAAUUGGAUAUCCCGAGAUACCCAUUUCAAUGUCUUCAUGUGAUUUUUUAGUCAUGACAUGAAUUAUUCAUAAUUUAGUUUCUUCAGCAAUUGAAUGCUCCAGUCU
rnacentral:lncRNA from 1 species